rnacentral:rRNA from 1 species
UACAGAGGGUGCGAGCGUUAAUCGGAAUUACUGGGCGUAAAGCGUGCGUAGACGGCUAUCUAAGUCGGGUGUGAAAGCCCCGGGCUCAACCUGGGAAUUGCAUUCGAGACUGAAUAGCUAGGGUACGGUAGAGGGAAGUGGAAUUUCCGGUGUAGCGGUGAAAUGCGUAGAUAUCGGAAGGAACACCAGUGGCGAAAGCGGCUUCCUGGUCCAGCACCGACGUUCAGGCACGAAAGCGUGGGGAGCAAACAGG